CUGUGAAUAAAGUCGCUGUUCUGAUUUUGUAACAAUCAGGACAGACUAAACAUUUGCUGUAUUAAGACCACGCAUGUGGCCCCAGACCUAGUUCUUUCCCUGGGUCUGGUUUUAUAAAUGCUGGUAAUAAAC